UGGGCUGAGUGGGUCUGUGGCAU
rnacentral:miRNA from 1 species